rnacentral:misc_RNA from 1 species
GAUGAAGAACGUAGCGAAAUGCGAUAAGUAGUGUGAAUUGCAGAAUUCAGUGAAUCAUCGAAUCUUUGAACGCACAUUGCGCCCCUUGGUAUUCCAUGGGGCAUGCCUGUUCGAGCGUCAUUUGUACCUUCAAGCUUUGCUUGGUGUUGGGUGUUUGUCCAUUCUCUUGCAGAGGGACUCGCCUUAAAGUAAUUGGCAGCCAGUGUUUUGGUUUUGAAGCGCAGCACAAGUCGCGAUUCAAAGCUAUACGCCCGCUUCCACAAGCCUUUUUCACUUUUGACCUCGGAUCAGGUAGGGAUACCCGCUGAACUUAAGCAUAUCAAUAAGCGGAGG